rnacentral:rRNA from 1 species
GAUGAACGCUGGCGGCGUGCCUAAUACAUGCAAGUCGAGCGAACAGAUGAGGAGCUUGCUCCUCUGACGUUAGCGGCGGACGGGUGAGUAACACGUGGAUAACCUACCUAUAAGACUGGGAUAACUUCGGGAAACCGGAGCUAAUACCGGAUAAUAUAUUGAACCGCAAGGUUCAAUAGUGAAAGACGGUUUUGCUGUCACUUAUAGAUGGAUCCGCGCCGCAUUAGCUAGUUGGUAAGGUAACGGCUUACCAAGGCAACGAUGCGUAGCCGACCUGAAAGGGUGAUCGGCCACACUGGAACUGAGACACGGUCCAGACUCCUACGGGAGGCAGCAGUAGGGAAUCUUCCGCAAUGGGCGAAAGCCUGACGGAGCAACGCCGCGUGAGUGAUGAAGGUCUUCGGAUCGUAAAACUCUGUUAUUAGGGAAGAACAAAUGUGUAAGUAACUAUGCACGUCUUGACGGUACCUAAUCAGAAAGCCACGGCUAACUACGUG